rnacentral:misc_RNA from 1 species
AAGUCGUAACAAGGUUUCCGUAGGUGAACCUGCGGAAGGAUCAUUACCGAAUCGUCAAACACGGGUUGUUGCUGGCCUCCAAACGGGGGCACGUGCACGCUCUGUUUACACAUCCACUCACACCUGUGCACCCUCUGUAGUCCUAUGGUUCGGAAGACCCCGUCUUCCUUCUGUAGCUCUACGUCUUUACACACA